UGCAAGUCGAACGGGAACUUUCGUUGUAGCAAUACAGUGGAAGUUCUAGUGGCGAACGGGUGCGUAACACGUGGGCAAUCUGCCGAGAAGUGGGGGAUAGCUCGCCGAAAGGCGAAUUAAUACCGCAUGUGAUGAGGGAAGACAUCUUUCCGAAAUCAAAGCCGGGGCAACCUGGCGCUUUUUGAGGAGCCCGCGGCCUAUCAGCUUGUUGGUGAGGUAACGGCUCACCAAGGCUUUGACGGGUAGCUGGUCUGAGAGGACGACCAGUCACACUGGAACUGAGACACGGUCCAGACACCUACGGGUGGCAGCAGUCGAGAAUUUUUCUCAAUGGGGGAAACCCUGAAGGAGCGACGCCGCGUGGAGGAUGAAGGUCUUCGGGUUGUAAACUCCUGUCAUUUGAGAACAAGGUGCACACGUUAACUGCGUGCGCAUUGAUAGUAUCAGAAGAGGAAGGGACGGCUAACUCUGUGCCAGCAGCCGCGGUAAUACAGAGGUCUCAAGCGUUGUUCGGAUUCAUUGGGCGUAAAGGGUGCGUAGGUGGCGCCAUAAGUCGGGUGUGAAAUCUCGGGGCUUAACUCCGAAACUGCAUUCGAUACUGUGGUGCUUGAGGACUGGAGAGGAGACUGGAAUUCAUGGUGUAGCAGUGAAAUGCGUAGAGAUCAUGAGGAAGACCAGUGGCGAAGGCGGGUCUCUGGACAGUUCCUGACACUGAGGCACGAAAGGCCAGGGGAGCAAACGGGAUUAGAUACCCCGGUAGUCCUGGCAGUAAACGGUGCACGUUUGGUGUGGAGGGAUUCGACCCCUUCUGCGCCGGAGCUAACGCGUUAAACGUGCCGCCUGGGGAGUACGGUCGCAAGAUUAAACUCAAAGAAAUUGACGGGGGCCCGCACAAGCGGUGGAGUAUGUGGCUUAAUUCGAUGCAACGCGAAGAACUACUG
rnacentral:rRNA from 1 species